rnacentral:rRNA from 1 species
UGGGGAAUAUUGCACAAUGGGCGCAAGCCUGAUGCAGCCAUGCCGCGUGUAUGAAGAAGGCCUUCGGGUUGUAAAGUACUUUCAGCGGGGAGGAAGGUGUUGAGGUUAAUAACCUCAGCAAUUGACGUUACCCGCAGAAGAAGCACCGGCUAACUCCGUGCCAGCAGCCGCGGUACUACGGAGGGUGCAAGCGUUAAUCGGAAUUACUGGGCGUAAAGCGCACGCAGGCGGUCUGUCAAGUCGGAUGUGAAAUCCCCGGGCUCAACCUGGGAACUGCAUUCGAAACUGGCAGGCUAGAGUCUUGUAGAGGGGGGUAGAAUUCCAGGUGUAGCGGUGAAAUGCGUAGAGAUCUGGAGGAAUACCGGUGGCGAAGGCGGCCCCCUGGACAAAGACUGACGCUCAGGUGCGAAAGCGUGGGGAGCAAACA